rnacentral:lncRNA from 1 species
AGUAGACGGGUGGUGGGUAGUAUACCUUCUUCGGUGGUGGUGGUGAGUAGACGGGGGGUGGGUAGUAUACCUUCUUCGGUGGUGGUGGUGAGUAGACGGGAGGUGGGUAGUACACCUUCUUCGGUGGUGGUGGUGAGUAGACGGGAGGUGGGUAGUACACCUUCUUCGGUGGUGGUGGUGAGUAGACGGGAGGUGGGUAGUAUACCUUCUUUGGCGGUGGUGGUGAGUAGACUGGUGGUGGGUAGUAUACUUUCUUUGGUGGUGGAGGAGACUUAUAGACGGGUGGUGGAUAGUAUACCUUCUUGGGAGGUGGGGGAGACUUGUAGACUGGAGGUGGGUAGUAUACCUUCUUUGGUGGUGGAGGAGACUUAUAGACGGGAGGAGGGUAGUAUACCUUCUUGGGAGGUGGGGGAGACUUGUAGACGGGAGGUGGGUAGUACACCUUCUUGGGAGGUGGGGGAGACUUGUAGACGGGAGGUGGGUAGUACACCUUCUUGGGAGGCGGGGGAGACUUGUAGACGGGAGGUGGGUAAUACACCUUCUUAGGUGGCGGAGGAGACUUGUAGACGGGAGGUGGGUAAUAAACCUUCUUGGGUGGCGGAGGAGACUUGUAGACAGGAGGUGGGUAAUACACCUUCUUUGGUGGUGGUGGAG